rnacentral:rRNA from 1 species
UACGAGUGGUGCAAGCGUUAUUCGGAAUCAUUGGGCGUAAAGGGUGUGUAGACGGCAUUUUAAGUCAACUGUUUAAUUCUCCGGCCUAACCGGAGGUCAGCGGUAGAAACUGAUAUGCUAGAGGGUGGAAGAGAGAAGUGGAAUUCUCGGAGUAGCGGUAAAAUGCGUAGAUCUCGAGAGGAACACCAAUGGCGUAGGCAGCUUCUUGGUCCAAUCCUGACGUUGAAACACGAAAGCAAGGGGAGCAAACAGG